rnacentral:rRNA from 1 species
AUGGAGUACGAGCCGGCAAGGAAUUGCGGCCAGUGCGGCAGGAAGGCGCCGCGGUGGAUAUCCUGGAGUCCGGCGAACCCUGGCAGGAGAUACUAUUCCCGCGUAGAUUCUUGGUCAUGAACCGAACAACAUGGCUUCAUCGACUGGCAUGACGCUCCAACGACAACAUUUGUGCGUGAAUUGCUAGGUGAUCUACGGGAUAAAGUGUGGACGUUGGAGGAUGAGCUUGCUGGUCAGUCAAGGGAAGGAGAGGUUUUGUUCUGA